CCUACGGGUGGCAGCAGUGAGGAAUAUUGGUCAAUGGCCGGAAGGCUGAACCAGCCAUGCCGCGUGAAGGUCAGUGCCCUAUGGGCGUUAAACUUCUUUUGUGCGGGAGCAAUAAUGGUCACGUGUGGCCAGACGAGAGUACCGUACGAAUAAGCAUCGGCUAACUCCGUGCCAGUAGCCGCGGUAAUACGGGGGAUGCAAGCGUUAUCCGGAUUUAUUGGGUUUAAGGGGUGCGUAGGCUGUGAGGUAAGUCAGCGGUGAAAUGCCCCCGCUCAACGGGGUGAAGUGCCAUUGAUACUGCCUGGCGGGAUGGCGAUUGCCGUGGAAGGAAUGUGUGGUGUGGCGGUGAAAU
rnacentral:rRNA from 1 species